CUACGGGCUGCAGCAGUUACGAAACCUUUACAAUACACGAAAGUGUGAUAAGGGGAUCUCAAGUGCUUUAUCUUUGAUAGAGCUUUUGCUAAGUGUAAAUAGCUUGGCGAAUAAGUGGUGGGUAAGACCGGUGCCAGCCGCCGCGGUAACACCGGCGCCACGAGUGGGAACACAUUUAUUGGGUCUAAAGCGUCCGUAGCCGGUUAGAUAAGUUUUAUGUGAAAUUGUUGGGCUUAACUCAACAGCAUGCAUAAAAAACUGUUUAACUAGGGACCGGGAGGAGAUAGAAGUACGUUAGGGGGAGUGGUAAAAUAUGAUAAUCCCUAAUGGACUGCCAAUGGCGAAGGCAUCUAUCUAGAACGGGUCUGACAGUGAGGGACGAAAGCUAGGGGAGCAAACUGAGAUAAGUUCAUAUCUUAGGC
rnacentral:rRNA from 1 species